UCACAGGAAACAGCUAUGACCAUGAUUACGCCAAGCUUGGUACCGAGCUCGGAUCCACUAGUAACGGCCGCCAGUGUGCUGGAAUUCGGCUUAUUACCGCGGCUGCUGGCACGGAGUUAGCCGGUGCUUCUUCUGUAGGUAACGUCAUUUACAAGGGUAUUAGCCCUGAUGAUUUCCUCCCUACUGAAAGUGCUUUACAACCCUCAGGCCUUCUUCACACACGCGGCAUUGCUGGAUCAGGGUUGCCCCCAUUGUCCAAUAUUCCCCAC
rnacentral:rRNA from 1 species